UUGAGAGCACAAUACCCCUGGCCUGCCCCUUCUUCUUCUACUUCCCAAUCUCAAUCUACGCACCCCUCAUUUCUCAACCCACCUGAUGGAGAACCCUUCCCUCUGCAGAAAGAAAAAGGGCGCCGCCCGUUCUUUCCUCAUCUUCACUCUAAUCCUCAUGGCCCUGGCGGCACUUUUCUGUGUCGCCACCUUUGGAAUCCAUCAUCGUCGAUUUCUAAUCGACGCAGAAGCAAGUGAUAGCCCCCCAGCUCAUGGAUACCGACGCCUGCUAGCUUCUGUGACUCAUCGCAGCCGAGUAUUGAUCGAAGCUCAACCAAGUGAAAGCCCCUCUAGCCCAGGACACUGAGGUUUUCUUGUUUCAGGGUGAUGAGUCUGCAUGCAACACCAUCAUUGCAAAAAUCAAAAGGCCAAGGUUGUGUUAGUCUAUGUGAAGCUAAAUGUGAAGUUCAUAGUUAAAUAAAUCCUGUAUAAAUAGACUUGGCAGAUGAAAUUUAAAAAUCUGCAAUGUAUCAAAUUUAAGUACAGGUUUAUUACCUUCUCAAUGAAUUUCAUUGAAGACAAAACAUUAGCAAUAUCAUACAAUCUUCUAACUUUA